AUUUCAUAUAAACAAUCGUCCAGAUUCAAGCCUACGAAAUAUGUCUCGUUUUGAAGACAUCCAAUAAAAUGGCCCGAAAACAUUGCUAGAUCGAUAAUACGCAGUUUGGACGAAAUUUUGUCACCUGAAUUGUAUGUUCGUGAAUAUGAAUAUCUACACUUUCGAUAGACACCAAUUAACAGUUCUAAAAGAAUCAUAAAUUAAUGCAUUCUAUGAUUCAUCAAGUCAAGCCAUUUCCGUUUGUGUACAAGGACAAUAUGGAAUCAAAAAUGACAUAAAUUCUUAGAGUCUCUAAUGAAACUCUGAUAUGUGGAUGCAUAACAUGAAUGCUGUUCAAACAAAAUGACUCUGAGAAUUGGAUAAGGAUCCUGAUAUCGUUUUAUAAUU